AUUUCUCAUUUAAACCUAGAACUCUCUCUCAUAUCAGAUCAUGCCUCACGCUCUCGCCGCUUGUCUCCCCUUCCUUCCUCGCUGAGUUGCUACCGGCUCGCACUACUUCUCGCCUCGCCGUUGGGAUCUGAUAUCUAAACUUGUAUUUCGUGCUCUAUUUGCGUCGAAUCGAUCUCGGUGCUCCCAUGAUUCAAGAAGAAGAGGCCUCUUAGAACUAACAGAUCGAUGUGGUACUUUAAUUGGUUUUAGUAAUGAGGUGAUGCUUCUAAGGAUCUUGAUUUGUUUGUGAGGAUUCACUAAUACCACACAAUUGUGAUUUGGUUAUUGCAAUGCCUAGAUCUUGGAUGAACCUUAGAGGUAUCCCUGUUUCUCUUAUUGAUCACAUUGGAGGUACCCCCAUUUCUCUUAUCUCUCCUAACAUGGAUGAACCUUUAUGGCCCAAUAGUUUAUAUAUGCACCUUAAAGGAUGUCCUUGGCAACUUUUUUCUAUGGUAAGACAUUUUGCGUUCCUUUUAUUUGUGUAUCACAAAUAUGAAUAUUUGGUUCCUUUCAGAGGGUUCAAACGACUCAACUUUUUAUUGGGUUCUUUUAGUGAUGUUUAUCUUCCAUUUGUUUCAUGUGUAAUAAACAUUUGAAUUUUUGUUGUUAAUAUUGAUUGCAAUUUCUUCACCUCUAAAAUACUAAAGUAUAUUUCUUGAGAAAAGUUGUCUUCUUGUUAAGAGAUUGACAUUGGAUUGAAUCUGUGUUUCUGUUUUGUAUUUGACUGGGUUUAAAAUAGUCACAACUACAUGUUGCAGGUAUAUAUAUACAUAAAUUACUUUUUUCAAACCUAACAGAAACUGGGACUUGUUCUUCUCAUGGCUGCUAAGAAGUUUAUCUCCCGAGGAUAUGCUAUGCUAUUUCAAAGAAGAUUAUCACCUCUUGAUCCAGCUUCUGACACACAGAUGUUAUGUGAACAAUGUGAGUCAAACUUAUUUGUGACCAAAGAACACAUUUACAAGUGGAGGUUCACUUGUGAAAUUAUGAUUCAAUCAGGAAUUUAUCAAAUGGUUUCAUGAGAGAAGAGAGCUCUCCUGAUGCUGCAUCAGAGAAGGAGUUGGGUAAUGAGUACUUUAAAUAGAAGUUUAAAGAAGCAAUUGAUAGCUAUUCUAGGAGCGUUGCAUUAUCACCAACUGAAGUAGCCUGUGCAAAUAAGGGGAAUGGCUUAUCUCAAAAUAAGAAGGCAAGU